CCUGGAAAGUGGAACAUUGUUGAUACAGAAAUAUUUGUACUUAUUAACAAAUGGCUACCAUCCUCACGAUGGUAAUAAUUUAAUCUGCCUCAAGCUCACAGUUUAGUAUAUACAUAUGUGUAUUAGGAGUCUGUGUGUAAAAUACAUAGUUAUGAGAAAAUUAAUCAUCAACGGAGAAAUUGUAAUUACAAGCCACAUGUUUCUUGUUUCCACUGAUUAUUACAUAAAUUCUGUCUCAAUUAAUCAUUAUUUCAUUGUCAUAUUUGCAUAAAGCCAUAAACAGAAAGGGAAUGAGUAACGAGGAAAAGUGGAUGAAAUUGAAAGAACGGUAAAGAGAAAGUCAGGUCUGUUAAUGGGCACUGAUUGUUGCUUGCGCUUAUAAAUUUAUGUAACAAUGCUCUUGUUACCUAUUACCGUACUGCCCGGAAGAAAGUUCAAAAGUAAUCGACGGAGAGUAUUUCCCAAGAGAACGAGUCAAGCGUUGGGUUCGAAGGGUCUACGAGAGAGACCGUGCAGACCAAUUUGCACAGUUGCCUUCGACCUCCAGGUGAUUCUGUGUGCGAAGGCGACCCUGAUGAUUAUCCCGCGGACCGAAGGCUGUAUCCAUCGUAAACGUCGACGUCACGAAACAGACGCCACCCACUGACUACGAUUUCCUCGACUUCUUUGUUUGCUUCGCUCGAAACGAAGAGGCAUCAUGGGGACUGAAUAAAUAUAACAAUCAUACGCGUGUAAUUUGUCAUAAUUGGAGCCGAAGAAUCACUGUUAUUCGAGACAGCGGAAUGUCGGGCGACGAUCCUACUCAUAUUUAUUAAUAAUCCCACUAGAAACGUAGGGGAAUGGAAGAUCUCGUGUAAUUAGGUCUGCGUACCAGUCGAGAUAAAAUUGAAUCUCGCCGGGCGAAUCACUCUUUAUCGAGUGACAGCUCGCGUUCCUGUCUGGAUUAGAGCUGAUGAUCGACAUAAUUAAAAACCACCGUUAACCAGUGACACUGUACGAUGCGAAUUAUCAGCAGUUUGACCUAGACAAAUAAGUUUCGAGCCACGACGUGGCGUCGAUAAAUCUUUCAAAAGAAACGAGGACGCCUAACGACUGUCAUUGAUACAAACUAUCGGAGCAUGGCAGCCAGGCUGGCUGGACGUGACUACACGCGAGGACUACGAGGAUGCAGCGAGUUGUGAAAGAAUCAAAAUCGACACCAGCGAGGAUGAGAGCAAAACAAAGAAGCCAGUGCAGCCUGCUGAAAUAACGAUCGCGCCUCGCAGGAUUUAUACGUCGACAUAGGGAAGCGGCCAGGCAAAAAGUGUCCGCUGUCAGUGACAUUGCUUAGCGUCGUGUUAUCUUGUCGCUGUGUUAGAUGCAGCGAGUAUCGCGGACGAGUCUCGAUUCUCUACGAUGCGGAAUGAUCGAGGUUCCGACGAUCGAUGGAUCGCCCAACGACCAAUUCUUUUGUUACUCUUUCAUAGUGGAACUUUCAUGGAAAUUUCUGUUCACCUGAUUACACAGAUAUUCGACAUUCUUUGCUCUUAUAAUACAUUCCAUUAGUUUAAAUCACUUCUUUGUAAGUAAAAAGCAUCUUAAUGCCAGAGUAGGAUUAUCUAUAAUUCCUAUCAAGUUACAUCAAUGUUACAGUGGAAAGGCAUUUAAACUUUCAAUUAGUGCAACACUUUAUUUUCAUUUGUAAGCAAUAAUCAUAUCCUGAACUUUAUUCCAGUGUAAUUAUUCAAGUGGUAAUUUGUCAUUGAAACAGGCGGUGUCAACGACCGAAUUAUCCUAACGCAUAAUCGAAACUCGUCCCACUCAACGUCGAUCCAGUCUAAUUGCAGCGCGAGCUGCGCCCUAACCAUGAACCUCGCACCAGGGGCUUUCGAUCGCGAUCUAUGACAGCUAUAUACGUAGUGGAUGCAUAGAUCGUUUUGCCGAUAAAUGCGUAACGCGCACGUUAAGUCACAAAGCGGCAAUUUAUGGUUCCACGCCGUCGCGACGAUUCUAUUUAUAAUUGCACGGAACUGAGGGAACAGAACAUACGGUAAGCCCUACGUGCCUCACGGAACCUGCCUGUCCACCUUUCGGAAUCGUCGUUUUCUCGAUUUUUCCGAUGGUUUAUAGAUCGAUGUCGUUUACCGAUCGCGAUUCUUAUCAGUUCCGUAGCCCUCGUCGACGAGAAAUGACCCGGAAAGCCAAUCGAUAAAGGGUUUUUAAACGGUAACCGAACAGAUUAGACGAUAAUCGAUCAGACUGGUUACUUACAAUUAGAUUGACGAUGUAAUUUAGAUAGCCUUAUAAAGGAUGUUUAACUACGGCACGAAAUGUGUUUGUGUGUUGCCAUUUGUGUAGGAGCCAAUAGAAUAAUCAAAAUGCAAAUCCUACGUGGGCAGCAAAGACCGGAGAAAUAAGAUUAUCUGUUAGAAUAGUAGCACUGUAGCGUUAAAAGUAUUAUGAAUCUUGUGUUGCAAGUUCAUUCGUCAUUAAUUUCUUGUCACACAAAUCAAUGGUUGCGUACGAUUGUAUCUAAUUAUACGUAAUAAUACACGUAUAAGAUAUAUUACAUGUUCGCAUAUUUAAUGUUUUUAACGUUGUAAGGUAUUGUAGUUAAAAUUGUUCUCUAAAACAGGAAAUCAAACCAUUGAUAUAAAUUAAAAGAACGAAUUGUCUUUUUAUUAAAUUGUUGAAGUUUUCUCCGAUUUGAAUGCAGUAAUAUUUUUACCAUUUACCUAAUUUUCAGUUCUGAUAAUUUACAAUUCUGAUAAUUUACAUUUAGCUCAGUAAUUCGCGACACGUGAAGCAAGUCGAAAGGAAUGUCUUACUAGUCACAACAUGUUCGGCAAUGGAACGAAAGCGAAAUCAGCGUUGUUACCUAUAUUGACCAAAUAAUGGAUUAACUUUCUUCGCUUUCCUCUAAUUCGAUAAUCGUCGCGUGGCCGCACCUCAUCUACCGAAUUCAUAUUGUUACGUGCUGUUCAGACAGAAACGAGCAAACUACGCGUAAAUAACUGUUCCAGCGCGCUGUUCUAACUUUCUAAUUGUUGAUAAUUGUUGAAAGAAACGAUUCGUUUAAUAUCCUACUAUUAUUUUUAGAUUUUGGAUCACAUGUCUUCUUACUCUGUAUUAAAA